AAGGUAUCAUUGCAUACUGCAAUACUCUGGUAUUUUGGCUAUAUAUAUAUAUAGCCAAAAUACCAGAGUAUUGCAGUAUGCAAUGAUACCUUUAUAUAUAU